GUUCGACGCCAGAAACAGAGUGCUGUCAUCGACCCGCCAACAGAUAGACAGUCACUGUAUGAAACACUGCACCUCAUUGGACAAAAACCUGCCAUUUUGUCAUUGGUUUGGGCCUACAAUAAGGAAUACAUUCCUCAGGUUGCACACAAUCAUUGCCCCAAGCCUCUGACCUCCUGGUUCAAGGCGGACUUCCUGACUCUGGAUUUUGACUGCUUCCUUCAAGAAUGUGAAACCUGUUGAGUGGUCCACAAGAGAGCAGAGCAAAUUCAUCAUGUGGCACCAGGAGAAAAUGGGUCGAAUCACCGCCUCACUGUUCUGGGAUGCUUGUCAAACUGCUGUAGAUAAACCCUUGAAGAGCCUGGUGGACCGUAUUUGUCAUCCGCAGGCUAAAGGCUUUUCUACGAAGGCCACAAGGUGAUAGGAAAAUAUGAAUAUGAAAGAAAAAUCGCUCAAUAUACAGUAAUUAAAAAGAAACUGCAAUGUUUACUACAUUUAUGUGUAAUUUUUCCUUUCAGUUGAUAUGAUUUAAAAAAAGGUACAUUUUAGUAUUUUAUUUCCACAUAGUAUGUUCAUGCAUGCACCAUGAUAUUCACCUUAUCUUUCUUUAUGAAACAUGACAUGUAUGCUGGUAGAUAAAUUGAAUAAUACAUGGAUCUGUAUAAAUCACUGCUAACAAAAGCAUCAUAGUUUUGAGCGGGAGAUUUCCGUCUCACAUGACUGACUAUGGUGUUGGUGUCACUGCUUUAUUUUCUUUAUUAAUGCAAAGGCUUUAAGGACUUUAUCUGGUUGUCUAAUCCCUUCCUCUUCUAUAUUUCAUAUAAAAAUGCGUGCUCUUUAAUCUAUAAAACUACAAAACUUCUUUUACCAUAACUGAUACAAACAUGUUGCAAACCUUGAAAUAUGAUGCAUCCUUCAUACUAUUCUGCAUUAUUAAUGUUGAAUCAAAAUAAAAAGGUUGCUGUUAUUUCAGUUUGUGAUUGCGAUGAACAUGUGUCUCUGUCGAAGAUAUUCUUGUCAAUGCCUUAUUGUGAACUUCAAAGUAUUAAUAUGUUCUUUGUUAGGCAGGGAUGUGAGCAUGAAAAAAUUGUACAAGGCGAGUAUGAGCACAUUAUGACAAGCAAGCACCAGGGUCUCUAUGUUGGUGAUGCUGGUCUGGUUCCCAGGAAGAAGCACCCGUACUUAGGAGCGUCACCGGAAGGCUACACAUCUUGUGUUCGUCUCGGCGUGGGGUUCAUCGAGAUCAAGUGUCCGCACUGCAAAAAA